rnacentral:rRNA from 1 species
CCUACGGGUGGCUGCAGUGGGGAAUAUUGCGCAAUGGGCGAAAGCCUGACGCAGCGACGCCGCGUGAGGGAUGAAGGUCUUCGGAUCGUAAACCUCUGUCAGCAGGGAAGAACGGUCACUGUGCUAAUCAGCAGUGAAUUGACGGUACCUGCAAAGGAAGCACCGGCUAACUCCGUGCCAGCAGCCGCGGUAAUACGGAGGGUGCGAGCGUUAAUCGGAAUUACUGGGCGUAAAGCGCUCGUAGGCGGUAUGUCAAGUCAAGGGUGAAAUCCCCGGGCUCAACGGGGGAAGUGCAUUUGAAACUGGGAAACUGGAGUGUGGGAGAGGAUAGUGGAAUUCCAGGUGUAGGAGUGAAAUGCGUAGAUAUAUGGAAGAACAUCAGUGGCGAAGGCGACUAUCUGGCACGUAACUGACGCUGAGGUGCGAAAGCGUGGGUAGCAAACAGGAUUAGAUACCCGAGUAGUC